rnacentral:misc_RNA from 1 species
AAGUCGUAACAAGGUUUCCGUAGUGAACCUGCGGAAGGAUCAUUAACACGUAUCCAACGUUAAACAACCUUGUGAACAUUCAUUCCUGCUCUCCUCGAGCCCUAACAAAACCAAGGACCUCUCUUGUCAGCCCUCGGGGAUUCGUCCCAACUUAGGCUUGGCUUCUGCGGGCCAGUCAGUGGGUGAAAGUGCCACUGAUUGGUUGAGCAGAUAACCGAUUAAAACUCGGAUCAUCGAGUGCCACACGGCCGAUGAACAAGUCUCUGGCGCAAGCCCCCAAAUUAACUACCUCUAAUCCUUAGCGGCCGCCUCGUGCUGUCGCUGUCGUGAAAGCUGAACAACUGUUAACAAUGGAUAUCUUGGUUCUCA